ensembl:misc_RNA 7SK 7SK RNA
GGAUGUGAGGAUGAUCUGGCUGUGACAUCUAUUACCCUAUUGAUUGCCAGGUUUGAUUCGGCUGAUCUGGCUGGUUAGGCAGGUGUCCCCUUCCUCCCUCAGCAAUCCAUGUACAUCCUUCCUGAAGCUGCACGCUCCAUCAAAGAGGACCACCACCCCCAAUAGAGGAGGAUCCUUCCUUGGUCAAGGUUAUACGAGUAGCUGUGCUCCCCUGCUAGAACCUCCAAACAAGCUCUCAAGAUAGAUAGAUAUACUACUAAUCUCUGUUAGGUCAUCAAAAAGAACAGUUUGCACUUUCACUGUUUGAAAGUUUGAUCAUUUUUUCACGCCGGU